rnacentral:rRNA from 1 species
UACGUAGGGUGCAAGCGUUUGUCCGGAAUUAUUGGGCGUAAAGAGCUCGUAGGCGGUUUGUCGCGUCUGCUGUGAAAACUCGGGGCUUAACCCCGGGCCUGCAGUGGGUACGGGCAGACUAGAGUGCGGUAGGGGAGACUGGAAUUCCUGGUGUAGCGGUGAAAUGCGCAGAUAUCAGGAGGAACACCGGUGGCGAAGGCGGGUCUCUGGGCCGAUACUGACGCUGAGGAGCGAAAGCGUGGGGAGCGAACAGG